rnacentral:rRNA from 1 species
AUUGAACGCUGGCGGCAGGCCUAACACAUGCAAGUCGAGCGAGCGGCGGACGGGUGAGUAAUGUCUGGGAAACUGCCUGAUGGAUGGGGAUAACUACUGGAAACGGUAGCUAAUACCGCAUACCAUCAGAUGUGCCCAGAUGGGAUUAGCUAGUAGGUGGGGUAACGGCUCACCUAGGCGACGCUCCCUAGCUGGUCUGAGAGGAUGACCAGCCACUCUGGAACGGAGACACGGUCCAGAGUCAUACGGGAAGCAGCAGUGGGGAAUAUGGCACAAUGGGCGCAAGCCUGAUGCAGCCAUGCCGCGUGUGUGAAGAAGGCCUUCGGGUUGUAAAGCACUUUCAGCGGGGAGGCGUUACCCGCAGAAGAAGCACCGGCUAACUCCGUGCCAGCAGCCGCGAUAAUAC